rnacentral:rRNA from 1 species
ACUCAAAGGAAUAGACGGGGACCCGCACAAGCGGUGGAGCAUGUGGAUUAAUUCGAUACUAACCGAAGAACCUUACCCAGGCUUGACAUCGACGGUAAGCAUCAGAAAUGGUGCCCUCUUCCCACAAGGAAGACCUGAAGACAGAUGUUGCAUGGCUGUCGUCAGCUCGUGCCGUGAGGUGUUUGGUUAAGUCCAGCAACGAGCGCAACCCUCAUUUCGUGUUACUAGCAGGUAAAGCUGAGGACUCACGAAAAACUGCCGGCGUAAGCCGGAGGAAGGUGAGGAUGAUGUCAAGUCAGCAUGGCUCUUACGCCUGGGGCUUCACACAUGCUACAAUGGGCGCAACAAACGGCAGCAAUAUCGCGAGAUGGAGCUAAUCCGAAAAAUACGCCCCCAGUUCAGAUUGCAGUCUGCAACUCGACUGCAUGAAGGCGGAAUCGCUAGUAACCGCAGGUCAGCUAUACUGCGGUGAAUACGUUCCCGGGUCUUGUACACACCGCCCGU